UGGAGAGUUUGAUCCUGGCUCAGGACGAACGCUGGCGGCGUGCCUAAUACAUGCAAGUUGAGCGCUGAAGAUUGGUACUUGUACCGAUUGGAUGAGCAGCGAACGGGUGAGUAACGCGUGGGGAAUCUGCCUUUGAGCGGGGGACAACAUUUGGAAACGAAUGCUAAUACCGCAUAAUAGCUUUAAACAUAAGUUUUUAGUUUGAAAGAUGCAAAUGCAUCACUCAAAGAUGAUCCCGCGUUGUAUUAGCUAGUUGGUGAGGUAAAGGCUCACCAAGGCGAUGAUACAUAGCCGACCUGAGAGGGUGAUCGGCCACAUUGGGACUGAGACACGGCCCAAACUCCUACGGGAGGCAGCAGUAGGGAAUCUUCGGCAAUGGACGAAAGUCUGACCGAGCAACGCCGCGUGAGUGAAGAAGGUUUUCGGAUCGUAAAACUCUGUUGUUAGAGAAGAACGACGAGGAGAGUGGAAAGCUCCUCGUGUGACGGUAUCUAACCAGAAAGGGACGGCUAACUACGUGCCAGCAGCCGCGGUAAUACGUAGGUCCCGAGCGUUGUCCGGAUUUAUUGGGCGUAAAGCGAGCGCAGGUGGUUUAUUAAGUCUGGUGUAAAAGGCAGUGGCUCAACCAUUGUAUGCAUUGGAAACUGGUAGACUUGAGUGCAGGAGAGGAGAGUGGAAUUCCAUGUGUAGCGGUGAAAUGCGUAGAUAUAUGGAGGAACACCGGUGGCGAAAGCGGCUCUCUGGCCUGUAACUGACACUGAGGCUCGAAAGCGUGGGGAGCAAACAGGAUUAGAUACCCUGGUAGUCCACGCCGUAAACGAUGAGUGCUAGAUGUAGGGAGCUAUAAGUUCUCUGUAUCGCAGCUAACGCAAUAAGCACUCCGCCUGGGGAGUACGACCGCAAGGUUGAAACUCAAAGGAAUUGACGGGGGCCCGCACAAGCGGUGGAU
rnacentral:rRNA from 1 species